rnacentral:lncRNA from 1 species
AAGGACUAGCCUUGCUCCUUGGAUGGAGAAUCAAGGAUCACAUAGUUUUGGCUGAAAAGUUGAUUGUUUGUUUGAGAAAGGAUGUUUUGGUAUUUUUGUAAUUUUUAUGUAAGAAAAAGAAAAUGUCUUCUAGCACAAGAACGAUGCGUGCGAUCACACAUGCGCUAGAAUCCUUAAAAUAUAUUUUUAAUUUUUAUUUAUAGAAAAGAAGGAAUUUUCUAGCACAAGGACGAUGNNNNNNNNNNNNNNNNNNCUAGACCCCUUAAAAUAUAUUUUUAAUUUUUAUUUAUAGAAAAGAAAGGAUUUUCUAGCAAAAGGACGAUGCGUGCGAUCACACAUGUGCUCUACCCCUUUAAAUAUAUAUUUAAUUUUUAUUUAUAGAGAAUAAAGGAUUUUCUACCACAAGGACCAUGCGUGCAAUCAGACAUGUGCUAGACCCCUUAAAAUAAAUUUUUAAUAUUUUUAUAAAAAAAGAAGAAAAAGUGUGCAGCAGAAGGAUACGACGGUCAGAAUCAGAGGCGACUAUGAAACUAACCAAACGACAGCACGAGAGAUUUCGGCAACGAAGACGGCAACGCAGGCACCGUCCGAGGAAUAAAUGCAACCGAAGAUGGCGGUGGAGGUAAACCGUCGGAAUGAGGCCUGGUCUCGUGGUCAGAGUGGAAAAAGGAUUUUUUUCUUCCGAGGUCCUUGCUUCCCUGGUGGAGGAGUAAAGCCCCUUUUUCCAAAAGCCCUCCGUGAAUCAGUUUGUGCCCUUCUCCCCCAUGUAAAGAAAAAUAUUCCCCUUUUUAAAUGGCGGCUGUUGCUCUAAUCCUCUUGGACGUUGCCUUUUCUCGUUUUCUUCUUUGUGCUCCCGUGUGUUUUCUAAAGCAUGCCCAUUAACACCCUCCUCUGCCUUGUUAGAUGGAGAACAAUCAAUAACCCGCGUUCUUGGAUUUGCUGUAUGCACCUAGCUCUUUCUUAAUUUUCUAACCAUCCUUUUUUCAUGUUCAAAUGGAAAGUGCUCCUUUUCUUGGAUGGCAGCUGGACGUGACCAUAUCCAAAGCCUAAAAGCCCUUCACGCCUCUCUUUCUUUAUUACGUUUCCUUUCUCUUUUUUUUCUUUUUCGUUUCUUUCCUUUUUUUUUCUUUCAUUUUUCGUUUUUUUUUUCUUUUUUUCGUUUCUUUUCUUUUUUUUCUUUUUUU